rnacentral:rRNA from 1 species
AUUGAACGCUGGCGGCAGGCCUAACACAUGCAAGUCGAACGGUAACAGGAAGAAGCUUGCUUCUUUGCUGACGAGUGGCGGCCGGGUGAGUAAUGUCUGGGAAACUGCCUGAUGGAGGGGGAUAACUACUGGAAACGGUAGCUAAUACCGCAUAAUGUCGCAAGGCCAAAGAGGGGGACCUUCGGGCCUCUUGCCAUCGGAUGUGCCCAGAUGGGAUUAGCUAGUAGGUGGGGUAACGGCUCACCUAGGCGACGAUCCCUAGCUGGUCUGAGAGGAUGACCAGCCACACUGGAACUGAGCCACGGUCCAGACUCCUACGAGAGGCAGCAGUGGGGAAUAUUGCACAAUGGGGGGGAGCAUGAUGCAGCUAUGCCGCGUGUAUGAAGAAGGCCUUCGGGUUGUAAAGUACUUUCAGCGGUGAGGAAGGGAGUAAAGUUAAUACCUUUGCUCAUUGACGUUACCCGCAUAAGAAGCACCGGCUAACUCCGUG